rnacentral:rRNA from 1 species
UAGCAUAGUCAUUUGGUUUUUAAUUGAGAUCUGGAAUGAAGGGUUUUACAGAGAUUUGUUUGUUUUGGGUUUAAAGUUUUAAUUUUUAUUUUGAAUUAAAAUAUUUAAAUGGUUUAAAGGGACGAUAAGACCCUAAAAGUUUUACUGAUUGUGAAAGGUUUGUGUGUUUAAGUGUAAGUUUAACUGGGGUAGUUGUUUUAUAUAAGCUAGGAUUUAAUGGAGCUUUGGGUUUGAGGUCCUUAUUAUUAAGAUAAUUGGAAAGAGUUACUUUAGGGAUAACAGCGUAAUAAUUUUGGAGAGGCCUUAUUUAUAAAGUUGAUUGCGACCUCGAUGUUGAAUUAGAAUAAACUACAGUGCAGAAUAGGUGGGAAUAGGUUUGUUCAGCCUUUAUAUAUUUACAUGAUUU